rnacentral:lncRNA from 1 species
GGACAGCAUUAGAGACAAAGCAGGAUGAUAUGAGGGCAAAGUUGGAGGGAGUCAGGGCUGAGGUUGAGAAGUCGAGAGCUGAGCUAGAGAGGUGCGUUAGGCACCGGCCAAGACUAGCCCCAGCGACCUUGAGAGGGAUCUAGCCAGGCUUCAAGAGACUCUCAGUCGUGUCCGAGGAGAGCGGCUGUGUCUUCCUUCCUUGAUUUUCUCCUUCUCCUUCUUUACUGAUAUGAUACGUGUUUUCUUUGCGGGAGUUGCUUAGGAUGCAACUUUCAUGAGGAUGCACUAUGUAAGAAUACACUGCUGAGCAGCUAUCUCUUGGAGGCGGGCGGUGAACACUCUUGUGCACACAAGGUUUCUCAUAAGAGGCAGCCACCACCAUCCCUACCUCUAACCCGAUCACCGACUGGCCACAAUUUCAGAGCAUAGGGGAAUCCAGACAAGUACGCAUAUAGAGUCGUGUGGUCCUGCACCUGCAGCUGAGGACGGUCAUGAGGACACCGGGUAGAGGAUGUGAUCUUCCCUCCCCUUCUUUUAUUUAUUUAUGCAGAGGCAGUGAAUUUUGUUGCUAUCCCUAUAUAUAUAUAUAUAUAUAUAUAUUUGCCUUUCUUUCUCUUUUCUAAUUUUUUUUCUUCGUCUUUUGCUUUUCAACUUAUGCUUGGUUUCGAAUUUCGCCCUUUCAUCUAUGAAUGAUGUGCGAAUUCUUGUUAUUUCACUUACGUGCACUGAUUUGUCGAUGUUGAGGGGGACACUUAAAUUGCACACGAGUUUUAACAAGCCCAACACCCUUAGUUGUAGGGUUUUUGUCCCAAUAUUCCAGUUAACAGACCAUUAAUUCGAUACACACAUAUGAGAAAUGGGUUUAUCCCAUUUUAUAUCUCAGGGGAUCUAGUAGAGAGAGAAAAUGCUCCCAAACUAAUCAAUAUCAUCAUUAACUAGGCCCACCUAUCUCUGACAUGCGAUAGUUGAUAGUUAUAUUUGUACAACCAUGAAGUGUCCUGACUUGCCCUCAUAACAUGCAAAUAGGGGUUGCUAGAUAAGUUCUUCCCAUAAAGAGCUUCCUCAUGAAACAAAGGAUCCUCAAAAUAUUGGAACCCUGAGGCCUUGUUUCCACGGCCAAACAACUACAUUAAGAUAAGGGGUGUUUGAAAAUAUAUAAAAAUCGACAUUUUUUCUUCUUGCAGAGUUGGGUCAAUUUUGGCAGCAUUUUCUUAAUAAGCAGGAACGUAGAAGGGGCUCACCAACGAUAUGUGGAACGUACCAAAUUGCGCCAUUUUCUCGCUCAAGUGGACGGCAAAGAAAGAAAGCUUGUUCCUCAUUAAAUGAUUCGUCCAAACGAUUCUUAAGCUUAUUAUCAAAGCUUUUUUCCAAUUAAUUGGAGUCGCAUAUACAAAUCUUGCUCUGCCAUCCUACUCUAUUAAUGACCAUACCCUUAAUGAGGUUAUAAUUCGUUUCUAGAGAAUGCCCUAGCAUAAGCAGGUAUUGGAGGUGUAGGAUUCAUGAAAGUUUUUGCAAAGUGUGGAGGUUAACAAAUCUAACUCUAUGAGUCUUGAGACUAAUGGAUCGUAUCUUGCAUACUAUGAAUGAAAUUGGAGAUAUAGUACCAGAUGAGCAUUGCUUGUAAAUUUGGCCAAGUCUAGCUUUUUUACUGAAUUCUUGCAUGCUAUUUUGGGGACUAUAAAUAGUGCUUAUUCAUAAGAAGGGGGAAAUUUACAUAAAUAACCAUUGUAUUUGUUUGAAUAAUAUAUUAUGCCAUAUUGCACAAUAUUUACAGAAGUAGAAAAACAAUGCAAAUCAUGAGACAUGACCGGAUUGGUAGUUUAGCCGGUCUUGUGAUCGUAAGAACUCAAGUCCGCAUGCGUAUCCAUGUAUCGCUGAUGCAGGUAUGCUUCACUUUUUAUAGGAGGAUACCUGGAUAAAUCAAGGCAAGUUAAAUCCAAUGAGAGUCACAAUGACAAAUGAUCCAGAGACAAGUAUCUUUUGAAAUGCAUAACAUGUAGUUAGUACACGAAAUGAUUGACAGAGGCUCUUGAGAAUCUUUUUCUCUUAAUUAUUUAUUAGAGGAUUGAGAAUAUUGCGAUAAGAUUCUCUUAAUUAUUUAUUAGAGGAUUGAGAAUAUUGGGAUAUGCCAUUCACGUGUACAUGCAAGUCUCCAACUUACUUGGGAGGGUUAGAAUCAGAUUUGCAUGUUGGCAGACACUCCACAAUACAAUCGUGACUUGGCUCCACAAAGUACGCUAUCUGCAAAGACCAAACGAUUCAUAGUUCAACCAUGAAUAUGGUGCACACAUGAGAGAGGGAGGGAGACGAGAACCAAAAUCUUAAGACUUGGUGAUUGAAAGAGUUAUUCCAUGAUUCCAGUUUCAUAUAUUUCCUAGUUACUUAGGCCCAGUUUAAAUAGACAAGUAGAAACGUAUUUUUCUAAUACAGUACUCAUUGAACACUGUUCAUGAGUAAUCCGCAUUUCUCAACCCCAUUUAUUUGGGAAAUGCUGCAAAAUUCCUAUUGCUACGAAAUACUAAAAGAACACCUGUUUUGCCUUGAUAAAAGCAAUCACGAAGGCCACUAACUCAAGAACAAGUGGUCUGUCCAAAUUUACAUUUAGAAAGCUAUGUUUUCUCUAGUCAUUGCUAUGCUUAUCUCUUGACAAGUAGUAAUUUCUAUCCAUUUAACAGUAACUAGCCAAAAUUGGGAAAUUUGAUAUCCUAAAUAUCUUAAACCAUGUGAGUUUCCACCAAAACAAGGAAUUGCGAAGUUGUACAUGAGAAAGAAAAAGCAUAUUCAACAUGACAAAGAAGACAUAAUUUGAACAAAACAUUGUUGUACUUCAUAUGCUAACGAAAUAAAUACAAUGACCACUUCCAAAUUCUCCAUUUAUCCUUAAAAGCUUGCAAAGCAAGAAAUUAGUACAAUAGGAUGAGGUCUUACAGAGUAGCGCUCUUGACCAUUUGAUAACACUCGAUGCAAUGUAGACCUGUAAAAACAGCACAAUGAACUGCACGAAGGUCUUACAAUCAAACUCAGGUUCUAAAGGGCCUUCUAAGGUCAUCAUGUACUCCUCAAGUCUUUUUACCCAAAAAGUACUCCUGAGUUUCCUUAAUAAAGAAUUGAAAUUCGUAUAAAACCAGUUAUAGACAUACAGCCAUUCUUACCAAGAAAAGUAACAUCCAUUUUCUAUGAUAAAAGCCUAUAUGAAUGGUGAGAUAUCCAUUGACUACCAACUGUAUAUCAUAGGUAACACUCAAAAGUAAGAGAAUAUAACCUGAACAAGAAUACAUAGAGGAGCCUCUUAAAAGAAAAAACACAUCUUUUGACUUUUAAAUGUUACCAGAAACUAGCAAUACUAACAUAAUAAUGAAAUUCAAAGAUAGGCUUCAACUUGUGCACAUAUGAAUAAGAAGCAAGAGAUUCCUGUUAUAGUGUUGAAGACUUAAACAAAACUUCAUGUAUUAGGCAUCCAGUUUAGGCGUAUCUAAAUUCCUGAGUUAUAAGUAUCCUUGUUUCUCUAUAAUUCACCUGUGUUCUAGGGAAAUGCUCAAAGGAAACACAACUCAAAGUCAAUGCAACCCUACGCUAACUCUUUACAUGUUCAUGAGCCUGUCCUCGCCAUUUAAGGGCUAUGUUUGAUUAUCACUGUGUGAGAAUUCCCAAGUAAACCAGGAGCCAUGUUAUCGUAUAAUUUAACUUCUGUCACUAGGUUAUCAUUUACUUCAACUUGCUCAGAGAUUGUAGUUGUUUUGAACAUCUUAAAAUUUUGAAUUUCAGAGACAUAUCAGAGCAAUUUUGUGAGAUGUACCUGAAGAUGCAAUUGCUCCAGCG